UACGGAGGGAGCUAGCGUUGUUCGGAAUUACUGGGCGUAAAGCGCACGUAGGCGGCUUUGUAAGUUAGAGGUGAAAGCCCGGGGCUCAACUCCGGAACUGCCUUUAAGACUGCAUCGCUUGAAUCCAGGAGAGGUGAGUGGAAUUCCGAGUGUAGAGGUGAAAUUCGUAGAUAUUCGGAAGAACACCAGUGGCGAAGGCGGCUCACUGGCCCGGUACUGACGCUGAGGUGCGAAAGCGUGGGGAGCCAAACAGG
rnacentral:rRNA from 1 species